rnacentral:rRNA from 1 species
AUGUGGUCCCAGAUCGUCGACGACGGGGAGACCAUCUACUCGACGUACAACACGGGCAACAGCUCCGCCCGGAGAUCGCACUGGAAGCUGGACUACACGGGCGACUUGAUGCUCAGGAUCUGGAGUGGCCAGUCAUGGGUGGUUUUGUUCAAGCGCCCAGAUGAUGGCUGUCGCCACUACGGCUCAUGUGGUCCGUUUGGCUACUGCGACAUGACCACCAGAGAGUGCAGGUGCCUUGAUGGGUUUGAGCCGGCGGACGGCUUCAGUGCCAACUUCUCCAGAGGAUGCGUGAGAAAGGAGGCACUGACAUGUCGUGGCUACCAUUUCUCGGCCUUGCCUGAUAAGUUUGUGUAUGUGAGGAGCAGAAGCUUCGAGGAGUGCACUGCUCAGUGUGAGCGUAACUGCUCCUGCACUGCGUACGCUUACGCCAACUUGAGCAGUAUUGUCGCAACUGGUGGUCCAUCAAGAUGCUUGGUCUGGACAGGGGAGCUUGUUGACUUAGAGAAGACAGGCGUACUUGGUGGCAACCUGUACCUUCGGCUUGCUGGUUCUCCUGUACUCGUUUCAUUAUUUUCUUGA